GUUCACAUAAUUUUAAUUAAUGUCAUUUUAAUAUUACUAAAAUUAUAUUACUUUAUUAUUUUACAAGCUUUAAAAUUGUCGCAAGGCCAAACAAAACGUAUCUGUGAGCUGGAAAUAUGUGGGGCACUGGGGACAGAGGCAGAGUGUCUCGAUGGCCUCUGCUGGCAUGUGGUGCCUGGCAUGUUGUAGGCAGUCAGCAAACAGUUCCUGAAUGAAUGAAUAAAUGACUGGAUGGAUAAGUGAAUGAAUGAAAGGGUUGGCAGGAUGCCCUGGUUCCCACGGGGCUGGGAUGCUCACGUUUGCCCCGUAUCCCAAGAGAGAACACUGUGUCCAGAGGGAGGUGGUGGAGCUGGCAUGGACACAGGGCUGGCUGGCGGCCACCCGCGGCCAGGAGCAGGACUGGGGAGGCCAGGCGCUGCUUGGAUCAGCCUUGGAGCCCCUAUGGGCACUCCGGUUCUCCAGGCAACAGCUUCCAGUCCUUUAGCCCCUCAUGUCACGGUUUAACACACACACAAGCCCCAAAAGAGGCCCCCCACUGCACCCCUCAACGUCCUCUCUGUGCAGCUUUUCCCAGCCCUUCACAUCUGCAGGAGACUCAGUCCUGAGAGGCCAGGCCGGGAUGGGCGGGGGCUAAGAAGGGAGGGAGGAACCAAGGUUUCUCCUCCAGCCCAGGGAGCCAGGGGCUGGCAUUCUGUGUCCAGGACUUCGGGCCCUCUGUGAGCCUCUGUCCGCCAAGGCGAUGGAGCUGUGUUUGGAGUCCCUCGUCUUUGGCAGCGGCUGGGGCCAAAGCCCGGGCAAGACCAACGCCUUCGGCACCCGGACUCAGGCUCCGUCCUCUCUGCCAGCGUGCGGCUACAAUGACUCGACAUGGCAGGCCACUGCCUUCAGAGAAGGUGACAGAGGGCCAUGUCUGAAACAUUCUCCCACAACCAGGAACCCUCAGCAGCCGCUGAAGAGGAAAGGCAGUUAAAUGGAAAGACUUCUGAGCAAGUGGAGGAAAAGUCACGUGUGACCUAGGGAGGGGCUCCCACAGGAAGGGGCAAUGCCCUUGCCCUGUUCACCUAGCCUCCAGGUGGCUUCCCACUUGAAAUUUCAGAGGAUGGCAGAAACCUACUUACAAGGAAAUGAAAGAGGGCACAGCAACCUUAAGACCAGAGCAGCCCACGAUAUUUUUUAAUGAGGGCAAAAAUAGAAGACUUGCAAAAGACCCCUGAAAAUAAUGCCUGGAAGCUGCGAAACAUCAGACUGACACCGCACAAAAGAGGUCCAGCUGAGCAGGAGAAAAGCUUGAGAAGCAUCCAGAACAAUGUAGGUGGAGAGGCUAAGAAGAAAGAGGAGCCCACAUGGAAUGAAUAACCAAGGUCGGGACAGAGGAAGGUUCGCCAGAACUGGGAGGGCUGAAAUUGGACAUUGAGAUAAAUUAAAGAGUGUUCUUUAAAACUGUCAAGACUUUGGCUGGUCAAUAAGUAAACUGCAAACGAGUGUUCCUAAACCACAGCAGCAAUGCUCCCUGGAGGAGGGAAGGAGGCCGGGGCUGCCACUCUCCCAGGUGGCUGCGUCCCGGCCUUUGCCAUUGAUGUGUGCUUUCUCCAGGCUCACAGAUGUCCCUGGGCCGGUUGCAUCUGUGACCAGGACUCUGCCACCUGCCUGUGGCUUGCUGAUCAGCUGGUCACCCAGGAAUGUUAGGGAUGAACAGAGACCUAGAACUCAGGCUCCAUGGAUCUGGCAGCACCAGGAGACGAGGUUUCAAAUCUCAUGGCUGGGCCAGCCAGCCAGGUGCCCUGGAACUGUUGUGAUCCCUGCUCCUUGCCGGGCUUAGCCUCCUCUUACUUCAGCCCAGAAGUCCCCGAGUACCCACUCAACAAAUGCCAUCCCUUUAAUUUCUGUGGCCUGCUGCCAUCACGGCUCGCCUAAUUCAUUCCCUCCACACCCUAAGUGUCCACGGAAGUGGCUGAAACAGUAAAACCACAGAGGAGCAUUCAUUCCAGUCCCCAAGGCAAGCCCCCUCCUUUGCACCCUGCUGUUUGGUUGAUUUCUUCUUUCUCCACUUCCCAGGAUGUGGAGCAGAUUCCCUGUGGCAUGAUUACCUGAGGCCAGGUACAGACUGGCUCCAGGGAAGCACAGGGCUGGGGUCCCAGUUCCCACACCGGGCCAUUCAUUAACAGGUGGGAAGAGUUCCACCACUUCUGAGGAAUUAGCAGGCUCCAGGUGACCCUAUGUCACCCCAAGUGACUCUCCAUUCCCCACAGACUCAGCCACAGGGCCAACAGUUUCUAUUGCUAUCUUUCCCUCCAGAAAACCCCUGGGCCAUCUCGCCUGCCCAGCUCCUGCUGCUCCCCACGGGAGGGCUACAGUUAAAGAAGGGAAAGUGGCUAAUUCACUAAGUAAUUAACUUAAGGAGUGUCUAUUGAACAUCUACUGUGUGCAAGAUGCUGUUCUAGAUUUGAGAUACAAAACAGGGAAAGAGAAGGCCCUGCUCUCACGGAUGGGCAUUAGAAGAGUGGGGUUGAUAAACACGAGGAUCAGUGAAGAGCAUUCCAGGCAGGAAUAAGCACUGCAGAGGAAGGAGGAUGAGAUGAGAAGGGAGAGCGAGCGAGCAGCAGUGGGGGAGGUGUCCAUGGGGUUGAGUCUGGACGAGGGGAGGGAAGCAGCCAGUGCUUAGCAGGAAGACAGGGCAGGGGUGCAGCUCCCAGAAGGAGACAAAGAGGACCUUUCGAAGGUCUGCAGGUGGCAGGAGGGGCAGAGGAGGCUGGACCCAGGUAAGAAGUCAUUGCAGGGGUCCAAGCCAGGAGAGGACAAAUCUGAUGGAGGUUUAAAAGGCUCAGUUGUCUGCCUGGUGGAGAAGAGACGAAGGGGCAGAGGGGGAAAAAGUGAUGGACUAAGGAUAGAUUUUGGAGGCAGAGCAAACAGGAGAGCAUGAAAGAAACAGAGAAUCAAAGAUGAUGUUUAGGCCAGGGGCGGUGGCUCAUGCCUCUAGUCCCAGCACUUUCGGAGGCUGAGGUGAGAGGAUCGCUUAAGCCCAGGAGUUCAAGACCAGCCUGGGCAACAUAGCAAGACUGCAUCUCUAAAAAAAAAAAAAAAAAAAAAUUAGCCAGGUGUGGUGGUGCACACUUGUAGUCUCAGCUACUUGGGAGGCUGAAGUGGGAGAAUCGCUUGAGCUGGGUAUGUUGAGGGUACAAUGAGCCAUGAUUGUGCCACUGCACUCUAGCAGUGGAUGACAGAGUGAGGCCCUGUCUCAAAAAGAAAAGAUGAUGAGUUAUUGGUUUGGGACCAUUUUCUGACCUAGGGAAGACAGAGGAGAAGCUGGCUUGUGGGUGGGUGGUAUCUGGAGCUCCGUUUUGGCCAGGUUACAUUCCAGGAGCCUCCUCGGGGUCUGGGAGGAGCUGUGGAGAACCCAGACAUGUCUGUAGGGGUGAAGCAUUUCUGGCCUGUGUAAGCACACACCUGGUGGCCACAGGGCCUGGGCUGUCUGAGAGAGGUCUGGUUUGAGAUGUGUCAACGUCGGACUCUAAAUGCCUCUCACCCCAGGGCUCAGGUAGCCCCUUCCAUGCCUGUCCAGAAGACCCUGCAGAAAGUGCUCAUGGUGGUGCCAUCUCACCUGCAGUAUUUGUUCCUAAAUCAGCACAAGUCGGAUCCUAGCAAGGGCCAUGGAAUAUGCUUAGAGGGUGACACAUACACUGCCACUGCCUGUUUCUAUUCAUGAACUCACUUUCGAAAGUGUCCCAUUCUGAGAUAAUUUUAGACUUAUAGAAGAAUUGCGAAAGCAGCCUCCCCACCCCCAGCCUCUUCUCAUGCCGGCAUUCCAUGAAUCAGAGUGCGAUUAUGAGAGCUGAGACUCACCUCGCCGUGGUCUCGAGAGCUGGACGGCAGGCAGGCCCCUCCCAGUGCCCUCCUCUGUUCCCAGCUCCCACGUGCAUUUGGCUGUCACCUUUCUCUGUCUCCUUUCUGUGUCAGGGCCGGCUUUUUAAGAGGAUGGGUCUGUCGCUCUUGGACAGUCUCUCCGCCUAGGUCUGCCUGACGCCUUCUCUGCAUUGGACUGAGACAUGGGGCGUCACUAUGUUGCCCAAGCUAGUCUCAAACUCCUGGACUCAAGUGAUCCUCCCACCUUGGUCAUCCAAAGCGCUGGGACUACAAGCAUGAGCCACCGCGCCCAGCCAGAACCUGAGUAUUCAAUGUUUCCAUAAAUGGAUUUCACUGAGUGCUCUCAACCCUGGAGACGGCAGAACCAAGUCUCUCUACACCCUUUCCCAGCAAGGGGCCAGGGCCACAGAGGAAGAAUCGCCCCUGAACUCUCAGAAUCCUAAAGCUUCAAUGGUUCUGGAAAUCAGAAGUCCCAGAAUGAAGGUGCCAUCGGUGGCGCUGGUUCCUCCUGGAGGCUCUAAGGGAAACUCCGUCUCCUGUGCUUCCCCAGCUUCCAGAGGUGACCUGCAUUCCCCAGCUCCUUGCCCCCUCUUCCAUCCUCAGAGCCACAGCUUGGCAUCCUCCAGUCUCUGUCUCUGACCUCUUCUUCGGUCCUCGUUCCUCCUACUGCCCCUCGCAUAAGGACCCUUGUGAUUACGCUGGAUCCACCAGAUAACCCAGGAUCCUCCCCCCAUCUCCAGACCCUUAACUUAAUCACAUCCACGAAGGAAGUCCCUGCUGCCUUGUAAAGUAACAUCUUCCCAGGUUCUGGGGAUUCAUAUGUGGACAGCUUUGAGGAGCCACUCAAUUGUGAAGGUCCACCAUAGUACCUUCAUAACUUCAAAUCAUAGGUUUAAACCUCUGUAUCUUAUCCCAUCCAUUUCAGUGUAGCUCUUGCCUGCCCACGCCAUUUGCUUGAUAAAUAUUUGUUCUGGGAGCUAGGUUUGCACAACUGAUCAAGCCAGGCAAAGCCUUAUUUUCCCAAAGCCUAUAUUCCAGUGGGGAAAGACAGGCAAUACAUGGGAUAAAUGAAUAAAUGAUAUUCUCAGCACAAUUGCUUUUUGGAGGAUAACUUGGUAAAAUUUAUGAAAAUUUAAAUUGUGCCUGUUCUCUGACUCUGCAAGCCUGCUGUUAAAAAUUCAUAUAUAAUGAUAUGUGUACAAGCCUGUUCUUUUUUUUUUUUUAAUGAAAUAAUUUUUAUUUGCUGUGAUUAUACAUAUUGACAUUUGCACACUUUUUAAAACUUUUUAUUUGGAAAAAAUUUAAAUUUUAUAGAUAAGUUGCAAAUAUAAAAAGAGUGUAAAGAAUACCCAUACACCCUUUUCCCAGAAAGACUUAUUGUUAGCAUUUCACACAAUUGGCUUUUUGGUUUCUUUCUUUCCCCACCCACCUCACCCCAUGGUUCUCUCUCUCCAUACAUGUUACAUACACAUAAUUAUAUACUUAAUUUUUUUCUUAGUAAAUUGAAGGUGUCACAUACAUGAUGGCCCUUUACUCCAAACAUCAGUGCAUAUUUCCUAAGAAUGUAGAUAUUCUCUUACUUAGCCCCAGUAGUUAUAUAUAUAUAUAUAUAUAUAUAUA
rnacentral:lncRNA from 10 species